AUUGAACGCUGGCGGCAGGCCUAACACAUGCAAGUCGAACGAGUGGCGGACGGGUGAGUAAUUUCUGGGAAACUGCCUGAUGGAGGGGGAUACCUACUGGAAACGGUAGCUAAUACCGCAUACCAUCGGAUGUGCCCAGAUGGGAUUGGCUAGUAGGUGGGGUAAAGGCUCACCUGGGCGACGAUCCCUAGCUGGUCUGAGAGGAUGACCAGCCACACUGGAACGGAGACACGGUCCAGACUCCUAAGGGAGGCAGCAGUGGGGAAUAUGGCACAAGGGGCGAAAGCCUGAUGCAGCCAUGCCGCGUGUAUGAAGAAGGCCUUCGGGUUGUAAAGUACUUUCAGCGAGGAGGCGUUACUCGCAGAAGAAGCACCGGCUAACUCCGUGCCAGCCGCCGCGGUAAUUC
rnacentral:rRNA from 1 species